AUUGAACGCUGGCGGCAGGCCUAACACAUGCAAGUCGAGCGCGCGGCGGACGGGUGAGGAAUGUAUGGGGACUGCCCGUUAGAGGGGGGUAACUAAUUGAGACAGUAGCUAAGACCGCAUACUAUCGGAGGGCGCAUAUGGGAUUAGCUAGUAGGUAAGGUAAUGGCUCACCUAGGCGACGAUCCCUAGCUGGUCUGAGAGGAUGAUCAGCCACACUGGGACUGAGACACGGCCCAGACUCCUACGGAGGCAGCAGUGGGGAAUAUUGCACAAUGGGCGAAAGCCUGAUGCAGCCAUGCCGCGUGAAUGAAGAAGGCCUUAGGGUUGUAAAGUACUUUCGGUCGGGAGGCGUUAACGAAAGAAGAAGCACCGGCUAACUCCGUGCCAGCAGCCGCGGUAAUAC
rnacentral:rRNA from 1 species